UGUCAAGAGUUUAGGCGUCGAUUCGGCGAGCAAGUUUCUUUUGCCUGAUAGAAGGUGAAGGAAAUG
rfam:Chelativorans sp. BNC1 plasmid 3, complete sequence.